rnacentral:lncRNA from 10 species
AUGCAGUGAGAAAGCACCAUCUUUGAAGCAGAGAGUCCUCACUAGAUACUGAAGCUGGGUGCCUUGAUCUUGGACUUCCCAGCCUCCAGAACUAUAUCAUGUGUUUACAACAACCCUACGGCCAGCCACAUGGCUCAGGAUUCACAUUCAUGCCUCAGGAGAUUCAUUAAGUGCUUCAUAAAGUGGACCUUUGAAGUUGGUCACGUGUAAACCUCUGAUGUUAUAUCCAAGAACACUGAGGGACCAUUUAGGCACUGUCUGGUGACUAUGGAGUGGCGUGUGCCCUAGCCAGUACUACCCCUGAGACAUCAGGAGCCUACAGGGAUUUCCAACCCUAUCAGAUCUGGGUUCUUCUUCCUGUGUCAUCCUGCAUGAACUGUUUGUGUAAAGGGGUGUGUGUGUGUACACACAUGUGCAAGGUGGCACCAAUGAACACUGAGGCCUUCAAGCUGGCCUGACAGAGCUCUGACCCUGUGCCCAUGGGCUAUAGUCUCACCAGGUCCCUGCU